AGUACCAUCAGUACAACCCUCUGCCGUAAGAACGGCAGACAGAAAAGAUGAAUUCGCCAAUAUUUUAGCGUGCCAUAAUUAUGGUUGGCUUAUCUUCUCGCGCUACGCCUCGACCUAAUUAUGUCAUGGGUUGAGCGCCACCCCUUAUGGGAGACUUUCAAAAUACUUUGCCUUGACCUGUUAUGAGAUCCGCACAAGAAGGAAGAAUCUUCAGAUGCUAAAGUUUGCGACAAGAGCACUUUUUUGACUCAAACGGGAGGUCGAUGCACUCCAGUUCGGCAGUCAGAGAUUGCAAAUUCUUAAGAGAUGCUUCGGCUAAACUCGCGCAAUUAUUGCAAUUGUAAUGUUGCUCGAGUUCUAGAGAACCGAAGUUGUUCUAAUUGCACCUCUACUGAGGGUUCUAGGACUUCGACUCGGUCACUUUUACCCUGAUCGUGGAGGAAGCAGGAGUGGUCGAAGGACCGUUUUGGAAUCGUUUGAGUUAGAUCUCGCGGCUAGUGGUAGAAUUAGGAGUAGGGUAGUGGCGAACCAGAUUGAAACCCUGAAACUCCAGGUGGCAACCGGCAUCAUCCGUAGCAGAGCGACCACUCCAACCGACAACCCAGCGCUUCUGGACUCCAUCAAGGGGUCAAAGUUCCGGGGUGAACCCCCAAGCAGCUCGUCCGUCAACACACGAGCUGGGCGGCGUCCGUCAACACACGCCGCGGUCGAACCCUCGACCACCAACCGACCGGACCGGAACGGCCUCGUGGAGGCCUAGGUACACCGCCAAGUUCCCGCGCGCAUCCGCGCCGUCGUCGCAACCGACGCUAUCAUCGCAGCAUCCUAGCUGCACACCUGUGCGCCCCCGCACACCGGAAGUGAUGCCGAACGCACGCCGAUAGUGCCAACCCGUCUGCUGUUAGCCGCCGGCGGAACCAUCUCGCCGUAGCCGAAGCUGUAAGCGCGCCACCACCUGAUCGCCGGAUCGCCAACCAACACACGUAAAUCCAUGGUCGUGUAAGUACAAACCCUUUUUCGACAUGCGCAUGAUCGAUCGUUGGCCAGUUCUUUUUCCGCCAACCCCGUGGGCAACAUAAGCCACCCCCACAUGUUGCGUGAUCGCAAACCCCCCCAGUGAAUAUAUUAUAGCGAUCCCCGAAUGAAUUUCGCCCCCCAAGCCAACGCACACUACUAGCCAAGCAGUGCACUGCAAAUGAACAGGUAGAGAGACAGGAAAACUCGAGUGGUACCGAGGUACCGUGUAGGACUAGCAUGCUAAAGAUCUGCGGAUCGAAUCUCGUAGGGCCCGAAGUAUUUUUUUGUAUUGAAUAAAUUAUGCGAACCUGAAUAUACGAUUUUUAUGAGUUUCUGGAGUAAAUUUGUGGUUUUUUCUUAUGUUUUCUGAGGCAUCUUUUCACGACUUUCGCGGUAGUUUUAUGUUGGGUUCCGCCAUUCUGGCUUCUGAAGCGUUCUGGGGAAAUUUGAUUGGGGAGAUUUUCUACCUGUGAUGAUAAGAACGGGGCAAGUACAAUCUUUUGUUUUCUAGAUCUGAGGUAUUUUUUUGAGUUUGCGAUCUUUUUCUUCCGUUUGUAGCGCCUCGGCUAACCGCCGAGUUCUCGGAUGAGUCGGAUCGUUCUCAAUCGCAAAUUUUGGCAUCAAGGAUACACCCGCCCUGUGGCAGGGUCUCAUAGCUGGGCAAAGCAGCACAUGAUGAAUGGUCUCCCUUUGGGAGUGGCGCUUAAGCCAUUCGUUUAAUUACGCCAAUGCGAUCCGACCGACCGCCUCCG